rnacentral:rRNA from 1 species
AUUGAACGCUGGCGGCAGGCCUAACACAUGCAAGUCGAACGAGCGGCGGACGGGUGAGUAAUGUCUGGGGACUGCCCGAUGGAGGGGGAUAACUACUGGAAACGGUAGCUAAUACCGCAUACUAUCGGAUAACCCAGAUGGGAUUAGCUAGUAGGUGAGGUAAUGGCUGACCUAGGCGACGAUCCCUAGCUGGUCUGAGAGGAUGAUCAGCCACACUGGGACUGAGACACGGCCCAGACUCCUACGGAGGCAGCAGUGGGGAAUAUUGCACAAUGGGCGCAAGCCGGAUGCAGCCAUGCCGCGUGUAUGAAGAAGGCCUUAGGGUUGUAAAGUACUUUCAGGCGGGAGGCGUUACCGGCAGAAGAAGCACCGGCUAACUCCGUGCCAGCAGCCGCGGUAAUUC